UCAGAGAGUUGAGCAGUUGCUGUUUUAAAAUAGAGGAAAGUCCGGGCUCUACAGAAAUAAAGUGCUGGAUAACUUCCAGCAGGGGCAACCCUAGGGAAAGUGCCACAGAAAAUAUACCGCCAGUGUUUUUGGUAAGGGUGAAAUGGUGAGGUAAGAGCGCACCGCAUUCCUAGUAAUGGGAAUGGCAUGGUAAACCCCACUUAGAGCAAGACCAAAUAGAAGAAACACUUAUUGGAUUUCUGCAAUGUUUCUUGGGUAGGUCGCUAGAAAGGUUUGGUAACAAACUUUCAAGAUGAAUAACUGCUGUCAUAAUCAGAUACAAAACCCGGCUUAUAAACUCUCUGACAAU
rnacentral:RNase_P_RNA from 1 species